rnacentral:rRNA from 1 species
GACCCCGAAGGUGCCGCGCGCACCUCGACUGCG